CUGAUUGAUCAUAUAGUGGAGCACAGUCAUGGUGAAAGCAGCAUGGUUGUGCUCCUUUUUCAUUCCCCCUGACCCAAUUGAACAUCCCAGUCCUUUCCUCCAUAAUUUCUAGUGUUCACCUAACCCUUCUGGAGGGCAGAUACAAUUCAUUCACCUAGUAAAACUUUCAUGGAUGGAUAUGACAAGCACCAGAGCUAGUACAAGAGAAACAAAAGGAGUGACUGGCCACAUGAGUAGUAGAAGCAAUACUGUCUCCGUUUAUUUACAGUAAAUUGGUGUAAUCCAUCUCACUAAGCCACUGGUGUAGCCCAAACUUAACUCUCCUCUUCCAAAAACACCCAGUCCACAAAGUAAAUAAACAAACAAACAAAUAAGGUUAUUUAAAUUGUUUGAACUCAUAUUUUGGGGGAGGAAAAAACUCAGCAUGGUACGGGGCUAUAUAAUUAGCUCUUUCAGGACGUAAGGGGAUGGGAAUACCCAAAGUAAGGGAGGAUGAUCACAAGCAGACAAGGACAAUAACCUUAUACCUUGGUAUCUGGAGUAACAUGUCUGAUCACAGCCUAAGACCACAAGUGAAGAGCUAGAGGUACAAGUUUACUUAGCUCACACAUCAGCCAUCGCUCCUGGCCACAUUGCAGCAUUGUAACCAUGUUGCGUCUGUGGUUCGGUAUACUUGCAUUUGUAAUUGCAGGCUCAGCACCCACUCUUUUAAAGUCCGAGCACUGUAUCUAAUUUCCAGUACUGCCCUGCCUAACAGUCAUGAGCAAGGUGCCAGUUAAAGCUAUGCGAUGAUGCUAUUAUUAUAGCUAGAGAACAAGGAAAAGAUCUUGGCAGCCCAGAUGACGGACGACAGACACAUGCAUGGGUAGACACAUGCUACGAAAAAUUGCACUUACUAUACUGAAAGCCCAGCUUCGCUGAACUGCCACUUGAAUGGCAGAGGCUUCUCAGAUGAGUCAGACCUUUAUGAGCCUUCCACGUUUGCAGUUUGGAACAGAAAAUAUGCUUCUCUUUCAGCUAAAUUUUUCCACUUGUUACUCUGAUGCAGAAAAAUUUUAGAUCUCCGUCACCAAUUGGUUUAAAGGGGGCACAAAGGACUGUCCCUACCUCAUUUGCCUAUCAGUUAAUUAGCAUGCAGAAUUUUUGUGUUGUAGAUAAAGGUUUUUCUUCUGUUUCUUUCCUUUGAUUGAGCUCUUGAAAGCUAUUGCUGAAGAUAGAUAUCCUGAAAGAAAUGAGACAGUACAGCCACUGACACCCUCAGUCAUAGAGCAGCUUUUUGCAUGUGAUUGGGGAAUAGAGAGUCUUGCUUGGAUUUCCAGCCACAUGGAUGUUAAAGAAGAAGAAAAAAAAUGGAAGUAACCUUCCACCUAUUUCAUAGCAUGCUCUGAAAAGCAAGCACCAUCCCAAUGGAGACUAGAGGUUUACCAGUAAAAGGUAAUCAGGGCAAGUCCCAAGAUCUUUAAAGAUCCCGAGCACUUUUAAGAAAGAAUCAAGUAUGUGAUUCAACGUCUCUGGCAGAACACCAGACACGUAAAUGCCCUCUGCCCCCCGCUUACCCAGAGCCAUCGGCAGGAUAAAAGACUGAGCUAUCUCGAAGUGCCGCAAUACAAGAUGUAACAGCUUCCUACCAACUUGGAAAUGAUGCAUUUUGACAUUAAAAUCUGAACAGCACCCAAAGGUUUGUUCAUACUACUGAAUGCAAUCAAGCUGCAGCUGCUUAACAAGUUCCAGUCAGUGCCCUCCUGCCCAAGCAGAGAUAACCACCUGGCCAUCACACGGUCCACACAGCCCCAGUCACAAGGCUGUGCGUGUUAAUUCAUUUCAGGUAAGGCAGCUGAACAGCACACUGCGCUUUUUUAACCAAAAUCAGCUCCAAAUUUAUCCAUUACACCCAAAUACUUACAUCUCAGGCUAUGUCCAACAGCAUGACCCAAAAUCCACCAAAGUCAACUGUAGAACUUUCAUGAACAAAGAUUUGGGCUUUAAAUUCUCCUUGCUUUCCAAAGUAUGCAAUGAGCUAGUUCUGCCAACCCUUAUUCACUCCAGCAGUAAAUGUGUUGCAUGUGUUGCCUUUAGGGCUGGAGCUUACCGCUCUGUGGAUAAAUGUUUGCAAAGGCUGAUGCUAGGUUUCCUGAUUCGAGUCUCUGCACUAAGAGCUGGCCAGCCCAGCCUGCACUUUCACUGAAUUGUGGUCUAAUGAAAUAUAGGAGAAUAAACAGAGAAGCUGUUCUCUUGAAAGCCACUACAUCUGAAAUUUGGCAGGCUGCAGUACAUUACACCACCAACCACAGGGUCAUAAUGUUUAAAUACAUCGUAUAUAGAAAAUAGUUACCAAAAAGUAAGUAUAGUCAGCAUUUGUAAUAAAUAAUAGCUAAUAAAUAGCGAAAAGAUUACAUUCUAGGAUGUAGGCUCCAAUGUCUUCCAUUAUUUAGUAAUUUAUUAUAUGAAAUUCGUUGACCUUUCCAAGCUUUUCUUUUUCCCUUUCUUUUCUGGUGAAGCAAGAGCGUUAAUUAUGCUUUAGCUUUUUUUAUUGAGCAACAUUACCAUACAAAUAGGCCAUCAAUAACCAAUUACAAUCUCCGUCUCAGUAAGAGGAAAGCUACCAGAUUGAGUGUGGCUACUCACACAUAUGCACAAGGCCUUUAAAAAAAAAAAGGCAGAGCAACUCACAAUUGAAUAAAACAGGAAUGCACAGGAGAAACAGACAGUGAUAGAUGGAUAAAUAUCAGGCUAGCUCUCAAGCAGGGAAUUCAAAAAGGUCCUUCUUAUUCAUCGGCCAAACAUAAGUCUAUCAACAUAACCCUAGUUUCCCCCAGACUGCCCUGCCAGUGACUCCAGAGAUUAAAAAUUCAUUCAGAUCUCAUGCUGGCAACAUUUAUGAAUUUUGCUCAAGUGGAAACUAUCAAUUGUGUCAAAUGGCACUGACUUAUGUCUUAAGCAACAUUUGACUUAUUGCCAGCAAAAUACUAAAUCUGCUUGCUUCUUUUUUUUUUUUUUUUUGGUGGGGGAACUAUAUGGGAGAAAGGGUUAUUUGUUGCAUUUAUCACUGUAAUAGUAGGUUUGUGCUAAAGAUGAAUAAUAUAACAAUUGCUGCAUUUUUUUCCUGAAAAUACAAUACAUUGCUACUGUGUUUUCAACUAAAAC
ensembl:lncRNA